rnacentral:rRNA from 1 species
CCUACGGGCGGCAGCAGUAGGGAAUCUUCCACAAUGGGCGAAAGCCUGAUGGAGCAACGCCGCGUGGGUGAAGAAGGUCUUCGGAUCGUAAAACCCUGUUGUUAGAGAAGAAAGUGCGUGAGAGUAACUGUUCACGUUUCGACGGUAUCUAACCAGAAAGCCACGGCUAACUACGUGCCAGCAGCCGCGGUAAUACGUAGGUGGCAAGCGUUAUCCGGAUUUAUUGGGCGUAAAGGGAACGCAGGCGGUCUUUUAAGUCUGAUGUGAAAGCCUUCGGCUUAACCGGAGUAGUGCAUUGGAGACUGGGAGACUGGAGUGCAGAAGAGGAGAGUGGAACUCCAUGUGUAGCUGUGAAAUGCGUAGAUAUAUGGAAGAACACCAGUGGCGAAAGCGGCUCUCUGGUCUGUAACUGACGCUGAGGUUCGAAAGCGUGGGUAGCAAACAGGAUUAAAUACCCCAGUAGUC